rnacentral:rRNA from 1 species
AUUGAACGCUGGCGGCAGGCCUAACACAUGCAAGUCGAGCGGAGCGGCGGACGGGUGAGUAAUGCCUAGGAAUCUGCCUGGUAGUGGGGGAUAACGUCCGGAAACGGGCGCUAAUACCGAAUACUAGCAGAUGAGCCACUGUCGGAUUAGCUAGUUGGGGGGGUACAGGCCUACCAAGGCGAAGAGCCGUAACUGGUCUGAGAUGAUGAUCAGUAACACUGGCAUUGAGACACGGUCCAGAAUCCGACGGGAGGCAGCAGUGGGGAAUAUUGGACAAUGGUCGAAAGCCUGAUCCAGCCAUGCCGCGUGUGUGAAGAAGAUCUUCGGAUUGUAAAGCACUUUAAGUUGGGAGGCGUUACCAACAGAAUAAGCACCGGCUAACUUCGUGCCAGCCGCCGCGGUAAUUC